rnacentral:rRNA from 1 species
UACGUAGGGUGCAAGCGUUGUCCGGAAUUACUGGGCGUAAAGCGUGCGCAGGCGGUUUGCUAAGCCCGAUGUGAAAUCCCCGGGCUUAACCUGGGAACUGCAUUGGUGACUGGCAGGCUAGAGUAUGGCAGAGGGGGGUAGAAUUCCACGUGUAGCAGUGAAAUGCGUAGAGAUGUGGAGGAAUACCGAUGGCGAAGGCAGCCCCCUGGGCCAAUACUGACGCUCAUGCACGAAAGCGUGGGGAGCAAACAGG